rnacentral:rRNA from 1 species
UAUGCUAAAUCUUCUUCAGUACGAAAGGACCAAGAAGAUAGGACCCAUCUAAACAAGAAGUCCUUUCCCACCUAGUUGAUUAAAACUCAACCUAGACAAGAAAACAGCCCACUCUAACCCUAGAUUAGGGUUU